UACUGAUUGCAGAAUUCCGAUAAAAUUGGAACGAUACUGAGAAAAUUUCCAUGGCUUCUGGCCAAGGACGACAUACAAAAAUCGAGAAAUUACAUGUAUAGUU
rfam:Capsicum annuum cultivar Zunla-1 chromosome 5, whole genome shotgun sequence